AGGGGCUGUGAGGUGAAAAGAAGGAAGUGAUGGGGAGUGCGAUGACGGGAAGCGAGCGGCGAAGAGUAGACCACCAUGAGGGAGACGGCGGAGGAGACGCGGCCACUGAACCAUGUGCCUUCGCCUAGGUCAACAACACCCUCCCCUAUUACUGCCCUCGCAUCAACGAAGCAAAGGUCUCCAUGAGUCCUAUACAUUAGGGUUUCCGACCUCUUCCUUGUGUCAUCUUCUCUUGCCUCCGUGGCGACCAUGUGUGAGAUUUGAUUGUGCCAUCGUUGUGGUCACCGAUAGAUGCUUUGCGAUCAAUGGGGUGUUCAGAGCUUGCCUCUCUGAUUGACAAUGGGUUUUGGAUAGUUUUCUGAGCAGUAGAGAAAUAUCGUCUCCGAAUGAGUUUUCCAUAGAUGAGUCUUCAUGGGUUCUCUUGCAGAGAAGGAUUCGAUGAAAUCACAGAACGUUUCAAACAGAAGUUGCAGCAUUAAUGGAUCGCACUCAAAAGCGAGCUCUUAUUUUCAUCCGGCUCUUGUCUGAUCCGGUUUGGCCAGCCCUUUAUAUAGUGAAGCAAGAUGUGUUUUCAUCGUGGGGGAAGAGUAACUCAUGUAAGCUCUCGAGAUUUAUAACUAAAUUGAAGCUCAA